rnacentral:rRNA from 1 species
UACGGAGGGUGCAAGCAUUAAUCGGAUUUAUUGGGCGUAAAGGGCGCGUAGGCGGGUUUGUAAGUCAGAUGUGAAAUGCCGAAGCUCAACUUCGGAACAGCAUUUGAAACUGCAAGUCUAGAGGGUAGGCGGAGAAAAUAGAAUUCCACAAGUAGCGGUGAAAUGCGUAGAUAUGUGGAAGAAUACCAGUGGCGAAGGCGAUUUUCUAGCUUAUACCUGACGCUGAGGCGCGAAAGCAAGGGGAUCAAACAGG